AAGAGGUAAAACGGGUAGUGGAACGAGCCGGGAUAGUGGAACGUUCCGAGCGGUCCGCUUUCCAGGAACACGAGUGUAAAUCACGAUUUUAUUACGGAUAAUUUUACGAGGAGUCGUGCUCGCCGCCGCCGACGCUGUUCGAGUGUCGGCUACCUUAAACUUGUAAUCGCGCGUCAUCGUCUCUCGUGAACCUCGGACCACGGCCGCGGAAUCGUUAGCGAAUUAGGGAAACCUGGCCAAACAAGCCUGGCCACGGUCUCCGACGAUAUUCGCAGCCAUGUCUGCUCUGCGAUUAUUACGACGACAACACCGUUCUCCGGGAAUAAUGAUAUUUAUUUAAUGAAGCAUCAUUUUUCGCUCGGUGCAUCAUUUUUUAACGCGUUAAGUGCCGCGUCGAUCGCAUGUAGGUGAUACUGAUCUCUGAUUAGAUUCAGAAAUUUCUGUAUUUGACACGUCGAAGGCCACGGGGCGACUAUGAAGGUGACCAGCGAAGGCCAGAUUCCUAAAAACAUAAAUCGAAAUUAUCCUGAUGUCACUAUGUCGACACUCGUCCACGAAGGGUUAAGUUCCAUCCGCUAUUGAAAGGAACAAUGGAAAUACGCCUACGCGAAGCAUGCUAAAAAACGUGUCCUCAAAAACUGAUCAAUACAACUGGGAAUGUUCACGAACACCGUCGAUUGUACAGUUGUGAAAAUGAUUCGCUGUCCGAGGGUCAAAGAAUCGAAGUUCUCUGGAACAAAAAUACUAAGUAAUUGCCGAUUUCAGAUAUAGAUG